rnacentral:rRNA from 1 species
GAAACUGCGAAUGGCUCAUUACACCAGCCUUAAUUUACUUGACCUUGACACCCUACUUGGAUAACUGUGGUAAUUCUAGAGCUAAUACAUGCACCAAAGCUCCAAUCUCCCCAGAGCGGAGCGCAUUUGUUCGCCACAAAACCAAGCGCCUCAGGGCGUUCAGUGUUGACUCAGAACAACUAAGCUGAUCGCACGGUCUUGCACCGGCGACGUGUCUUUCAAGUGUCUGCCCUAUCAACUUUCGAUGGUAGUGUAUCUGACUACCAUGGUGAUGACGGGUAACGGAGGAUAAGGGUUCGACUCCGGAGAAGGGGCCUGAGAAAUGGCCACUACGUCUAAGGAUGGCAGCAGGCGCGCAAAUUACCCACUCUCGACGCGAGGAGGUAGUGACGAGAAAUAACGAGACCGUUCUCAUCUGAGGCCGGUCAUCGGAAUGGGUACAAUUUAAACCCUUUAACGAGUAUCUAUGAGAGGGCAAGUCUGGUGCCAGCAGCCGCGGUAAUUCCAGCUCUCAAAAUGCAUAGAAUUAUUGCUGCGGUUAAAAAGCUCGUAGUUGGAUCUGUGCUGAGCGACCGGUCUGCCCACUGGGCACGCACUGGCUCGCCCGGCUUUCCCUGCCGGUCUCUCUCUGACGUUGGUUUUAACCGGCUGGCGUCAGUGGGCUGGCGAGUUCACUUUGAACAAAUCAGAGUGCUUCAAACAGGCGUCUCGCCUGAAUGUUCGUGCAUGGAAUAAUAGAAGAGGAUCACGGUCCGAUUUUAUUGGUUUUGCUGACCGAGAUAAUGGUUAACAGAGACAAACGGGGCCAUUCGUAUUGCUACGUGAGAGGUGAAAUUCUUGGACCGUAGCAAGACGGACUACAGCGAAAGCAUUUGGCAAGAAUGUCUUCAUUAAUCAAGAACGAAAGUCAGAGGUUCGAAGGCGAUCAGAUACCGCCCUAGUUCUGACCGUAAACGAUGCCAACUAGCGAUCCGCCGGCGGAUUCAUUCGCCCUGGUGGGGAGCUUCCCGGAAACGAAAGUCUUCCGGUUCCGGGGGAAGUAUGGUUGCAAAGCUGAAACUUAAAGGAAUUGACGGAAGGGCACCACCAGGAGUGGAGCCUGCGGCUUAAUUUGACUCAACACGGGGAAACUCACCCGGCCCGGACACCGUAAGGAUUGACAGAUUGAUAGCUUUUUCAUGAUUCGGUGGAUGGUGGUGCAUGGCCGUUCUUAGUUCGUGGAGCGAUUUGUCUGGUUUAUUCCGAUAACGAGCGAGACUCUGGCCUACUAAAUAGUUGGCACAUUGCCAUUGUGUGCCCAACUUCUUAGAGGGAUUUUCGGUGUUCAGCCGCACGAAAUUGAGCAAUAACAGGUCUGUGAUGCCCUUAGAUGUCCGGGGCUGCACGCGCGCUACACUGGCAAAAUCAGCGUGCUUGUCCUCCCCCGAAAGGGGUUGGUAAACCGAUGAAAAUUUGCCGUGAUUGGGAUCGGACAUUGCAAUUAUUGCCCGUGAACGAGGAAUCCCUUGUAAGGGCGAGUCAUCAACUCGUCCUGAAUACGUCCCUGCCCUUUGUACACACCGCCCGUCGCUGCCCGGGACUGAGCCAUUUCGAGAAAACCGGGGAUUGUUGGCCUGACGGCUCUCGGGUCGUCUAGCCGAUGAGAACCGGCUUAAUCGCACUGGUUUGAACCGGGCAAAAGUCGUAACAAGGUAGCUGUAGGUGAACCUGCGGCAGGAUCA